UAUGUUGCAUGAUGUGCUAUUGUUUUAUUUGUAUUUUGUGAGACUGUUCGGUUAACUGAGAAGUAAAUAUGAGUACUUUUUCUUUUCUCUAUCUUGGCAGUUAUGUGUAGGAUGCCGUUGCCCAUGAAUGUCAUUGGCGCAAGGAUCAUGUGGAGCAGCAGUUUCAUAGAAGCCCACUGUCAGAGGGUCUUGAAACAUUGCAGGCUUUAUUUGCAUACAGAUUUUCAUAGCAAACGAUUCUACACUCCACGAAGAGCUAUUCUGUAUGUACCAGGAGAUGAUGAACGGAAAAUUAGAAAAGCACUUUCCCUAAAAGUGGACUGCAUAGCAUUGGAUUGUGAGGAUGGAGUUGCAUCUAACAGAAAGAAUGUCGCUAGGUCUACAAUAAGGCACUUCUUGGAUAAAGAAUGUGUAUCUCAACAGUUUCCAGAGUGGACAGUAAGAGUAAAUUCAGUAGACAGUGGGAUGUGUGAAGAAGAUUUAAGAGUAAUUUUGACAGGACCGCAAAAGCCACCGACAUUACUGCUUCCAAAAGUGGAUUGCAUUAAACAGCUGCAAUGGUUUGCAGACAAACUAAGUGUAAUCGUAGGAGAUGAGAAGAAUAAAAUAAAGAUGAACUUAAUCUUAUUUAUUGAAUCAGCCAAAGGAAUAAUGGACUUGCCCACAAUAUGUCAAAAAUCUAUUGAACUGGCUGAAAAGUCAUGCUUUUUACCUGUUGCAUUGAUCAUUGGAAGUGAUGACUUGUGCGCUGAUCUUGGUAUUUCACGAUCAGAUGAUGGUUAUGAAAUACUGUAUGCUCGCCAGAGGCUUGUGUUAAUAGCAAAAGCUUUCAACUUUCAAGCAGUUGAUAUGGUUGACAUUAAUUAUAAAGAUCUGCCUGCUUUGGAGAAACAUUCUAUAGCAGGAGCAAGAAUGGGUUUCACAGGAAAGCAGGUUAUACAUCCCAAUCAAGUGCGUAUAGUGCAAGAUGCCUUUUCACCCACACCAGAAAAAGUACAGUGGGCAACCGAUCUUAUUGCAGCCUUCAAUGAACAUCAGCUCAAAGGGAAAGUAAGAAACUUUAGUUAAACAACAACAGGGAAUAUUUAUGCAGUAAAAGUAGUCUAUAUAUUCUGCUCUGAUUUUUUUCAGUUUGCUUUAAUACCAAUAUAUGUUCCUCCUCUUUACAUUAUCUACUCUUCUUCAGUUUACCAUCACAAACUGCAGAGUCAUACGUAACUCUGUUUUUAUAUAAGGUCUGGUUUUUGAACCUGAUGCCACACUGUAAUGGCAGUGUACUUUCAUUAAAAAAGUUUUUGUGUAAGUGAGACAGCCAGUAAAUGCAGCAGUAAUAAGUCAUUCUGCCAUUUCCAGAAGAGUGUGAAUAUACAGGGUGUAUUUGAAAGGAAUGUAGAAAAUGAAAGGGCUGGUGGAGUGGGUCGUAAGAAGCGUAUUUCACAUAGCAGCCCAUGUCUGCAUCCCUUAGCGUAAGGCACUAGCAUCUUUGAACAAUGCAAUCUGAGCCAUCAUGGUAGCAGAUCUGCAGGGCAAUGAUUUCAAUGUAUUUGUGACAUCAAGGUAAAAGAGACAUGUUGAAGUUCCAUGACCUUUAUUUGCAAAUGCUGUAGUUGACAUUGUUGCAGCUUUCCAGGCAGUACAGCACUAUGAGUUAUCUGCUUCUUACUGUGAUGUGAACACAUUGCUUUUGGCUUUGAAAAUGCCUGUUUGAUAGGUGUUGCAUAGGAGGCAGCGCCUGUGCACACUGCAUCAUUUUGUCAUCAAAUGAGGACACUCUUGGGUUGGUUACUGUCUGGAUCAGAGAAGAAAUGGAGCAUUAUUCUUGGGAGGAAAGGGCAGAUAUUCACUGUGUUUAUGGGGCAACAAAUGGAAAACUCUCAUGCUGCCCAGCAUUUGUACAUUUGGCAGUUUCUGAAUCAUUGAGCGCCAUAUCACUGCCAUCCACAGGAGAAACAAGUUCAAUUGAGGUGUACAGGCCUGACAAACAUGGUCGUCAACACACAUAGUACAUAGACCAAGGCUUGAAGAGGAGACAUUAGCACUGCUGGAAAACAGACUCGCAAGAAGCUCAUGGCGUGUAGGACGGGGAAUGGGCAUAAGCCAUUCCACAGUAGGCAUGUGUGGCAUAAAGAUGAUUUGCACCUCAACUGCCUUCAGAAGUUUCACACCCUUAAUCCAGACAAUUUCCCGUGUUGAACUAAAUUCUGCAAGUGGUUUUGCAAAGGUGUGCCAUUCAGUUGGAAUUUAUGAACUGUGUACUUUUUAUGGAUGAGUCAUCGUUUACAUGAGAGGGUAUGUUCAACAGCCGCAUUCAACACUUGUGGGCACAGGGAAACCACAUGCCACUUUUUUUUGUGCUCACCAAGAUUGCUUUGCUGUCAAAAUCUGAGCCAGCUUGGUAGGCAGUAAUCUGGUCAGUCCAUACAUGUUCCCCUGGUGACUGAACACAAAUAGGUACGUAAUUUUUUCAUGAGAAACUGCCAGGGUUAUGGGAACAUGGUCCACUCAAUGUGUGACAGCAAAUAUGGUACCAAAACAUUGGUGCACCUGUGCACUUCACACAUACAGUGUGAAUGCUUUUGGAUGAGACCUUUGGUGAAAACUGGAUAGGGUGUGGUGGGCUGGUGGCAUGGCCUGCAUAUUCCCCAGACUUGACACUCAUUGAUUUUUUCUUCUGGGGCCACCUGAAAUCAGUUGUCUAUGAAACGCCCAUUGAGACUGAUGAACAGCUGACAGCAUGCAUUAUGGCAUUCUCUGAUGCAAUUUCCAUUUUGCCAGGAGUGUUUGAAAGAGUGCAACAUUCAUUCCAGCAUCAUUGAAUGGUAUGCAUCCAAGCAGAAGGGUAUAAUUUUGAGCACUUUUUGCAACUUUUUCCAAGUAAAGGUUAUAAAACUUCACCUUGACUUUUCAUUUAGCUUGACACCACAUAUGCAUUGAAAACAUAGCUCUGCAGACCUGCUACCAUGACACGCAGACCUGCUACCAUGACAGCUUAAAUGGCAUAUUGUGUCCCUACCCUCUUCAUGGUGUCUGAUGCUGUUCAAUGACAUCUACCACCAUGGUGACAGCUCAAGCCAAGUUGGAUCUGUGGACAAACAUUCUGCUGCAGAAUCACUGAUGUAAAAGCACUACAGGUGGUUCCGCUGAUGCCGAUGAAGCUCAGGGAACCUUGAGUGGCAUAAAAUGAGUGACUCAAGACCUGUGUGAUGAUACCAUGCUCCCAACACUGUAUAUUUCCAAAAACUUUGCAGAAAACUUGCUUGCUGUUGAAACUUUAUCUGAGCUGAUGGAAUGUAAAUAUCACAUCCCAGAGCAGCAUGGCUGCAGAUUUUAAAGGCAUUUAAUUCAUGGAAGAGUUCAAGGGGGGGAUGUAAUGAAUUUUGGUCAAAAAAAGUGAUUUUUCAAAAAUAUUAAUUUAUUGCUCUACACACUUUAAUCUAUGUUGUGUGUGAAUUUUAUCAUGAUAGCAGCUUUAGAAGUGCCUUUAAAUUGUUAAACUGAUUAACUCUGCAUACGUGAGUAUAAUUUCCAGUUUCAUCAAAAAUAUUGUUUGCGUAACUAUAUUUAUUAAUUCCAUGAUAAAUAAUUUGACCUAACCCUUGUAGUAUAAGAAAUAGUUAAAAAGACGCAAUUUUUCAAUGUGUUCAGUUAGUUUAAUGAGUUAAGUUUUAAUUGUGAUUUCUGUAAAUUAAACAUCAAACACUGUGUAGUUUCAGAGCCUACUAUUUUGAUAAUAUAUAAGGACCCGAUUUUUGGUCCCGAGCAGUGGCACCAGUGCAUGAUGGGAUUGGCAACUGGGUGGGGGUGGAGCUAAAGAUAGCACAGUACUUAUCUUGUAAAGCACGGAAUGAGCUUUUAACUUUGUGUGAAGAUAAUAAGUUAAAGAAAAUCUUAGAAGAAAAGCAGGAAGCUCUUUUUUUCUUCAUUUAUUUAUGAUGCUACUUCAGAUGUGUCCAUGAGUAAACAGACUAUUCCAAUUUUAAAUUAUUAUUAUUAUUAUUAUUUUGUAACAAAGACGAAAAUAAAAGGGAAAUUCAUGA